rnacentral:rRNA from 1 species
CCUACGGGUGGCUGCAGUGAGGAAUAUUGGUCAAUGGGCGGGAGCCUGAACCAGCCAAGUCGCGUGAGGGAAGACGGUCCUACGGAGUGUAAACCUCUUUUGCCGGGGAGCAACGGGGUCCUUGCGAGGGCCCAAUGAGAGUAACCGGAGAAAAAGCAUCGGCGAACUCCGUGCCAGAAGCCGCGGUAAUACGGAGGAUGCGAGCGAUAUCCGGAUUUAUUGGGUGUAAAGGGUGGGUAGGCUGGCUGUGAAGGCAGCGGUCAAAUGUCGGGGCUCAACCCCGGCCUGCCGUUGAAACUGGCGGCCUCGAGUGGGCGAGAAGUAUGCGGAAUGCGUGGUGUAGCGGUGAAAUGCAUAGAUAUCACGCAGAACUCCGAUUGCGAAGGCAGCAUACCGGCGUCCUACUGACGCUGAGGCACGAAAGCGUGGGUAUCGAACAGGAUUAGAUACCCCUGUAGUC